rnacentral:lncRNA from 1 species
GAGGACUUGCAGCAUGCAACGAUUCCGUCGGAUAUAUCCGCGCUUACCAAAGAAAGGGCGAUACCACAAACCGAUGGAACACAUGGGCUCGAAGAGAUCCACAUAUAUUUAGACCUCCCUUACCUAGAAUUGGCGCGAUGACCUUCGAAGCGUCGGACGCGAACGAUGUUAACUUUUCUCACAACGAUCCUCUGGUCGUCGAAAUAAUGAUCGCGGACUGCGAGGUCUAAAGAGUAUUGGUGGACACCGGAAGCUCAG